rnacentral:sRNA from 1 species
GUUUAAUCUGCGUGAGGGAUGGUAGUGGAUAUCCUUUUUGUCUUGGACGAAAAAGUUCUAUCUAAAGAGAAAAUCUUCUAAAGACAAAAAGAUAGUAACGGACAGCCCGGCCCGCU